UGAGCAGCGAUCAUUCUGACGGGGACUCCCGGCCCCGCGGCGCCUCCCGAGUGCGGCGGCUGCGAGGAGGCUCGCUGAGGGCGGCCGGCCGCCGGGCCGCGCUCCGCCGAGUCCCGGGACGGGCUGCGAGCGCCGCGCCCGCGCGCACCACCAACUCCGGCCGCCGCCGGCCGCGGCACGGCCCCGCCCCCUCGCGCACGGGGGGGCGGUGC
rnacentral:lncRNA from 1 species